rnacentral:tRNA from 3 species
CGGGAUGUAGCGUAGUCUGUUUAACGCGCGCGGUUUGGGUCCGCGAGAUCGGGGGUUAGAGUCCCUCCAUCCCGACCA